CUCUUUCCAGGCUGCUUGGAUCCAGGACUUUGAUCCAUCAUUGUCAUCCUGGAACAAAGGCCUGUGUGGAAACUGAAAUCUGGUUCCAGAUAGUUUCCAACCAGUCAGAUCCAUGGCUUGGGUCAGGAAUGCUCUUUUUCUGGUGUUUGCUUUCGUGGACUUUAAGGUGCAGAUGUAAUUUUUUUUUCUUGGUCAUCAGCAUUGCCAGAAGUAAAAAAGCUUUUGAUGAAAUCACUGAUUUGAGGCAAGUGUGUUAAGACCAAUGAUAGGCUUGUCGCUGGCACCUAGAUUUAAUUUCACCUCCUAUGAAAUAUAGGUUUCAUAAAAUGCUCCAUGACUUCUCUGAGCCUUUUCAAUUUUCUGAAAUCAGUUUUGAAAAAAUAUUUUACCUUCUUCAGCCAGUCAAUUUUCUUGACUUUUUGACCUUUAAAUUCAAUCUGUUGUAUCCAAAUUAGUUGGCACAGAACAAAAAUACAAUACUGGAAACUUAGCUGCCUUACAGAAGCAAUGGGCAGAGUUCUGCCUGCAGUACAAAUCUGGAGCAGAUUUAGUGGCUGUAUGCCAGGUCUGAACUGAAAGCAAAAGCGGGCUGUUUAUUUUGUUGCCAAAUUAUAUAUAAAUGCUGCACAAAUUGUGUCCUUGCAGAGCAUCACUCUUUCUACACACACAAAUAUUUAUGUGAUGAAUAGACUGUAUAGCAGAGUUACUGUGGCACUAAACUUGCAGGCAUUUGUGCUGGAACAACUGUGCAACAUGCUGUUAUUUUUAAAGAUGCUGCCCUUGUAAGUCUUUACACCUCAUUGUUUUUGUAUGGCAAAUUUGCCAUUUCUCUGGAUAGCUAUAAAUGUGACCAUAACGUAUCUACAAGGUCACAGUAAAUAAAUAUAUAAUUAAUAAAGCCUUAUGCAAUGUAAAGAUGCAUUCAAAUGACAUAAGAUACUACAUUUCAAUGUUACUUUUAUUAAAGAUAUUACAAGGGGAAAAUCAGGUAUCUACCACUGAAAAGCCCUUGGCUACCUGUUGGGAGAUGGGUGUGUGAAUUUUAUUGUCCAUCUAAUUACUUCGCUGAAGAUUCUGCGAUUUAGAAUCCCAUUUCACACCCUGGUAGGGAUGUUAGAUAUUGUUUCCUGGCCCAAAUCCAAGCCAAAGAGUGAAUUUCUGCACACCAACGUGCCCCUGCUGCUACAGCUGAAUAUACCUCUUGAUGGUUUGCACCGAAAAAUAUGUAAUAUUGCUUUUGCGCUCUGCUCCCCAGGCAGGUGAUAUGACAGCGUACCUAAGCAAUACGGUGAGUGACAUUUUGCCAGUUGGGUGGAGACUCUGCCAGAAAUCCCUAGUCGGUGCAGGCUGGUGCCCUGAGGGUCUCCGAACUCCACCAGGCUAUUAUCCCACAUUUAUGGUCAGUGGGAGCCAAAGUGAACCUGAUGUGUAAAGGUGGGAUGCAGCUAGGGGCCAGCUGUGAGCCUCUGUAUUGUUCUACAAAUGUCAGGAUCCUUUGGAAAAGCUCUGUAAGAACUGCUGGAUAAUGCACGUUGCAGGGGAAGCCCCUUCAGUGUUACUGAAAGAAAACCUUUGUCCCAUUUUAAAUUACAUUUAUUAAUUGUCUGAGCAAUUUUGAGCUGGAAGACAAAAUGGUGAUGUAAGGAAUAGCAGUGUCAUGACUGCGAGUGUUAUAUCAGCAGCUCGGAACUCCUCCAGCUCCAUCCAUGGACCAGGUAUCACCCACAUGGGGAAACCUGUAAGGAAUGAUGCUGUCAUGUUCCUUGAGUUCAAGGCAGGACUUGCAUCUCGUCUUUCAUUGUCUAGGCAAAUCUAUGGAAUUUGCUAGGUAGAGCAGUGUAAAAUUCCCAGAAAUGCAAAGCUAAUGGUUUUUUGCUUUUUUGCUUGCAUGUGGUGCAGACGUUGCGAUGAGGAUCUGGUAAUUUAAAUUGUGGGGACCUGGAAGCCCCACCACGAGGUCUGUAGCCAUCUUGCUGAUUUAUAAAGAGGCAAAAAAAUAAUGAAUUAGGCAAAACAAGGAAUGAGACAAUGUUUCAGAUUUUCCCCUCCAAAGAGUAGUAAUUUAUUGAACAUUUAAAGCUCCUAAUUAAGUAUAUAAACCAAUCACUCUGUCUCCCUCCCUCUCCCUUUUAAUAAGGUUUCCAGAGCAAAGCAAAGGUGUGAAGUCGGUCAGGCUCUCCUCAGAGGAUUAAGGAAAAUUGUGUAAGUUAUAUUUAAUUCAAUUAAUCUUUCCAGAUAGGUCCUAAAUCAUGUCAUCAAUCUAUUUGAUUCCACAGGCAUAAUCCUUAACAUGCAGCUGCCUCACACAAUAAGCCAGGGACAUGCUCGGCUGCAUUCAAGGGAAAUAAAUUUAAUUAUAAACACAUCAUAGAGUCGAACAUUUCCUGAAUUUGGAAUUCAAUGUCUUGUCAGCCUUCCAGACGAGAACAACAUCAAACUUUUAUAGGGAAGCAGACUCUGUCCUGAAUUUAUAUGUACUGGCAAGCGCCUUAACUGGAGGAAAGCAUAAAAACUAUGGUUUUUAAACAUUUUAAAACUUAAAGCUACUUUCAUCUUCAGUAGAACUACUCACAGUGUCAAAUAAAGCCAGGAGUAUGGUUACUAGAAUUUGUCAUAAAAAGGGAGAAAUACAAAAAUCUAUCUGGUCCAGAUGGCCACAGCAUCACACUCAAAAUACUGAGGGUUGCAGAGGGACUGGAGGGGCAGGGGGCUACAAGCCAUUCACAGCCCAUGUGAGUGGCCAGAAGUUCAACUUCUCACUGUGUUUAAAACCUGGGGGCUCCAUUUGGUGCCAGUUGUUACUCAGUGAUGCCACCGAGGACCUUACAUGUGAGGUUGAUCUCGCUGUGAUCGUGUGACUUAGUAAGCUGAGGUACACGGGGACCAGAAGUCACUCGGUAAGCCAUGACCUGGUGCGCAAGGAGGGGCAAGCAUCCUGCAAAGAGGGUCAUUGGGUUCUUCCAGGGGUGAAGAAGCCAAGCCCUGGGUGUCCACAGGAGGAUCAGAGCCCCUCCUGACCAGCAGAAGCCUGUUAACGCUAAUUAGGCACAUCAUAGGGCAUCUGGAUUUAUUAGGACAUAAAUAAUUCUGUUUUCCUCUUUUAUUUACCUGUUACUCUAACUCAGUAUUGCCUCCUCAGCCAUACAGAUGCCCAGUUCUUUCUGGAUUCCUUUAAAAGUAAUGAUUGAUGGUUGUUUUACUGCAUGAGAUUUUUUAGUAUAACCUCAGGUUAUGCUAAAUAAUCCAUAAUUUAUAAUGGAAUAUUGUAUAACAGAUGUUUUCAAGGAAUUUUAUGCUUUGGAAGUUCUAUGAAAAAGUUGCAGAAAGAAAAAAGAAGUUUGAAAUCCCUGAAACAUCCCCUUCCAAAAUUUUCUCACACUUUUCCAGUUAGGGAGGCAAAAUUAGUUUUUAUUUAGAAAUGUGAAGUUAUACUUUAAAGAAUUAACAAAAUGAAGUGUUUUCAUUGCUCCUCCAGUGAUAAAGCAAGAGUCCAGGCAGCAAGCACCAAAAGUGUGAGAGGCAGCACAGCUCUUGAGGUGCUCGUGAGGCUGAGCAAUGGCUUUUAGUGUUUCAAACGAAGGUGUCUGUAUUAGUGUAUUAUAUAUCAUAAAUGUAUAAUGGGGGAAAACUGUUCUGCCAAUAGCUUCAUUAGUUCAGAUUAAAUUUUUAAUCUUCGCUUUUGGCAGGCUUAAUUAUUAAAGCUAAUUUCACGGUAGUUGGUGUGUUUCUUGUUAGCUUUGGCCCCUCUUGGGAGGUAACACCUAUGUUUUAUGUGGCAGUUUUCCCAUGACCUGCCAGCUCCCACCUACCAAUUCACCCUCUCCCAUCCUCCAUGGUUUGCGUUUAGCUUGUUGUUUCUAAUGUUUCAACAAUAAAUAGGUUUAGUUUAUCACCAAAUCAAAGUUGUGCUGGUCUCAAGGGCUUGUGGUUGCUUCCACACGGCGCUUUUUUCUGUGUCUGAGUGGGAUGUAUCGGUGUGUUUUUUGUAUUUUCUUUUCCUCAGCUGUUCUACAGACUGUCUUGUGGUAUUUUAUCAGUCACUGAGAUUGAGAAGUUUUGAGCUGAGGCAUAAGAGAUCAGGCAUUUUCCUCCUGCCAGGGAGAUGCGCUGAAGCGGAUGCUGGGGGAAAGGCACAGGUUGCUUGGUGGGGCUGGGGGGGCCUGGGAGGCAGCCCCAAGUCCCAGGGCAGUGGGGAGGUAGCAAUGGGCUCACCAGCAAUGGGCUGUCACCUCCUGCACAUAUCUGGGAUGGUGGCAGCUCCCCUGCAUCAUGUGCAAUAACCCCACCAUGCCCACAGCACUGUUCCUGCCACAGCAACAGAGAAAAGCUUUGGAACUAUAAAACCGAGCAAGUGCAGAAGCCCAGGAGUAAAUCCCAGGGGAUGAAAAGGCCACCUUUAUACUAUAUCAAUUUCCCAUACAGCCCAUCAAACAUUUUCUUUACUUGUUACAUGUUAAUUUAGGUUGUGACAGCUUUUUCUAAGUGCCCUUUAAAUUCGCUUAUAAUGCAGAGGAAGAGCAGGAGAUCAAGAGAGAUAAUUAUUUGUUCAAACCUCUGCUGCAACUUCAUGCACAAACUAGAAAAUCUCAGUUCAAGUCAGAGGAAAGGAGAGCCCAAGCACUGCUUAUUGCCUUUCUGUAGUAUGUAGCGUUAGCCACAUACAGUUAUUUCACCUGGUAUUUUAUUAGUCUUUUCCCCACGCUUCCCUGGCGUGGUGGCAGGGCAAGUGUAGGAGAACAAAAACCCGCCUGUGGAGAAAAGGCACCCGUGGUUGCUGAGCUGCAUCAGAAGCCAUUAUUUUUAGAUGACAUCUUUAUCUGUGCAGGAUUUGCAUCUCUCUCAGGUAACCCGGGGACACCUUGCCAGAAAAUUUAGUUGUUUCCAGUUUCUACUUUUGUUUUUACACAGUUAGUAGCUUCUCAGGAAGAGCGAAGCUUUCACCGAUCAAACAGCAAUAUUCAUGAUACUUUUUACUAAAGGUUCUAGAAAAAAAUCUGUUACUCAAAUUCUAGGAUAUUUUAUAUUUACAAGCAACUAGAUAGUAUUAAUGAAAAAUAGGUGCCAGGUAUUUUGGUGAUUGUUUACAAGUGUUUUCAUAAGCAUCUCAAUACAACGAUAAUUAAAUCUGUAGAAAUAUUUUCCACUGCUACUUUUUCUGUUGCAAUUAAUACAGAAUGUUUUUUUCAACCUCUAGGUGAUGCCUUCACUGUUGUAAGUGCAUCAAGCUAAAGACAGCAUAUAUCAAGGUAAAGAUGUCACUGUUGCCUGUGAUUAACCUCUUAGACUACAAUCUCUUUAUCUCGAAAACAGCAAGGAGGAGCAGGCAGGUCUUGCCAGGGGUGGCAAGAUAUCGUCUGACAGCGCAGAAGCAAAUGACCGUGGCUACGUGGGGACAUGCAUGUUGGGAGAUGGCCCACAAACUGGACACUGGCUGCUGCUGCAUGCCACCUCGUCCCACAGCAAAGCAAGUGAUGGGCUCCUCUUGCAUUGCACCACCUGGUAAUCUCUGGGGAGGAAAGCUGGGUUAUCACUAGGGACUUCAAUCUGACUGUCAUACGGAGGUCUCAGGCUGUCAGUGCUAAAAUGUCCUUGAAAUAUUUCAUACUUAUAGUUGGCAGUCUCCUAACCCCAAAAUUGUUGUGUUUGGCACGGGAGAAAUCUGUAUUAGACCUUCUCGUGAUGGGGAAAGAGAGAAGGUAAGUUUUUAAGAAUUGAAAAUGAGUGAUUUACCUGGCUACAAUUAAUUCUGGAUGGGCUACACUGCCAAGACAGCUUUACUUGCCUUCAUGAUGGAAUUUGGUAACAGCAGGUGUUGCAGUGUAGUAGACCAAGUAUAAUAAGAUUCAGUGGAAACAGAAGCUAGUGCAAACUGAAAAAAAAAGGUAGUGCAUUUUCUGGAGUGAGGAAAAUUAACUCUGGGAACAAUUUGCAAAAGAGUUGUGGUCAAGUCGUUAUUACAGAAACACAACCAGAUUUUUCUCUCUGAAAUCUACACUCUGGAUCCCACAGAGACUGGACGUGCAGCAGGAAUUAAUGCGGGACAGCGCGGCGGCCAGCCAAGGCACUGUGUUGGGAGGGAUCAUCACAGCGGUCCACUCCAGCUCGGCUCUUUCUGAAUCUAUGAAAACAUCCAUCCAAGCCUCUGGAGAAGUGAACAUACUUCUGGGAAGUGCCUGGAGAGAGAAAUUAUUGUCAACAUGGUCUGAAGUUUCCAGCAAAUGCAUCCUGCCUCGCCUCUCUCAGGGCUCUCUGGGAGGAUGUUGGUGCCACAGACGUGAGUACAGCUGGAGCAUCGACCGUAGGAAACCACCGCUGCAAUCUGUAAACUGGUCUUUAGUUCUCUGUCAGCAUCACAUGCAGCCUGAGUAAUAUUUGUCCUGUUUCCAUAUUAAGAAAGAGAAUAUACUGGGUGUUUUUAACGGACGGGCAAACUACCCCUGUGCAAUAUUAUGGCUCUUGUCAGUGACAGUUUCCAUGGCGUUCAUGUUCUCUUUUUCCUUCUCGGAGUUAGCACAAUUUCAUUAGCUCCAAAGAUAGUGUUUAAAUUGCCCAUCUUGUUAAUAAAUUAAACCCUGGUAAUUAUGGGCUUUUCUAAAUAAUCUAAUAAGAAUGCUUCUGCUUUGACGGGGGGAGUUUAACUGUAAAACCAAUAUUUAUAAUGUACUUACAGAAACUGUGAUCAACAGGAAUGCCUUGCCUGGAGAGUAAAGGUCCUCUCUACCCAGUAUAGCCAGAGUCCAGCUUCUUGAUGGGAAAAGGAGCUACAGCUUUAAAUGCAGGGACCAUUGAGCCAGUUGUCAUUUCAUCAAGGGAUUCAGAGAAUCUUUGCUUAAAGUUCUCCUUUCCCACUGCUGACACCUUCCCCAGCCAAUCUGAUCCCACUGCAGCCGCAUGGGGCACGGUGCAGCCCACGGGACAGGAUGCCCUGCGGAGCAGGGAUGGUGCAUCCCCACUGGCCACCUAUGUUACGGAGGUACAGUCUGGUUUUGUUUGGUUGCUUUUUUUUAUUAGUGACAUGGCUGAUUUUGAUGUUGCUCGGGUGGAUCUACACUGUAGCCGAGCACGGAGCUGUGUCAGAGAAGUUGUGCGGUUCAGCUCUCUCUAAUGUAAAAUAUUCACAAGAGCAAGAGCUAAGGUGGAGCAGGAGACUUGUGCGGUGUGUCCCUCCCAUGUGCUGGCUGCACCGCCACGAUUCAGCUGUGUCUUGGAAAAAAACCCAUUCAGAAUGAACUUUAAUUAGCCUGGCUAUUGUUUGAAAGAGCAUUAAAAUGCAUGCAUAUGGAUUGGAGCAACAGAGUGAUAAAUAGUAAGUGGGAUGAGAGCUGCCUUCAGCUCAUCUGUGUUUUGGGGGAUUUUAUUCCUUAAAGUAUCUUUCUGGAGAUUAAGUCAUGAGGCCAGAACAACCUGAAGGACCUGCAGGGAGUGAAGCUGCUGCUUUCUUUCCCAUGACUUUCCUUGCGCUGAACUCUGCAUCCCUCCCAACAGAGACCACAGGCUGCUCCUGCAGCACCAGCACAGCCAGUCUUAAACCCUCCUGUACUAAGGGAUCAUUGCUUUAGAGGGUAGUUACUGCAAAAUGUAAUCCCACAGCUACCAGGUCACUGAAACACAUCAGCAUUUGCUUAUGCAGAGACAGAAGGGUCAAGCCUGCGUUGGAAAAUCUCCCUGUCUGGGGUUUGUGGUGGGGCAUCCACCCUAAGACUGCUUGCCAAGCCCAAACACCCUCAAAUCAUGCUAUUGACUUACAAACCAUGAGAUUUAGAAAGUAAUUUAGCUGGUGGGUUUUGGUUGUUCUUUUUUUUUUUUUGCCUUCUAGGAUUUAAGUCUUCAGAGAACACAUAUUCAGGCUUUAUUCUGAGCCUUUCAGAGAAGCAAAGAAGACACCGAGAUCCUCUGUAAUCACCUGCCUCCGGGAGCUGCAGCUCCACAGACGGUACCAGGUAUCAGAGCUGGCAAAAUCACGGCGAUUCGGGGCUGGCUUGUCUGGCUGUGGUGGGUAAUGUGUUCACUGCAAUGACAGGGAAGCGUUACUGCUGUUGUGCAAGAAUACUCUCUAUAAUUCCCAAUGCGUGUGUUCAGAAAAAGAAGCCAGAAAUCCAUGGCAGGAGUGCGGAGAACUGAGGCCCAAGUGGCCUGUUUGGGCACCUCCAGGACUAGGGGGACUGGUACUGAGGGCAAAUGAAGCGGUGAGGGAGCUGGGCUGUGAUUUUGGGCUGAGAAGCCAAAAGUCAACCCAAGCGGCUUCUCUGAAACCAGCCCAAAGCUGCAAAGAGCCAAUGUCUAUGAAACGUCUACAGAUGCUUCAUUAUGUAAAAUUAUUCCCUUUUGAAACUCGGCUAAAAUAAUCCGGUUCUGUGGUGCGAUGCUGCUGGCUGGGCAGUGCUGGCUCGCCGUGCCCACGUUGGUGUUUCUCGUUCAGCUUCUUGCAGCGCUGGGAUGAAGAUGAGUCUGAGUGUCGGGCUGGGGACUAACGCCAGAACAACUGAUUUAAUACCUGGUCUGGUCUCAGCGGUUCCUCUGUGGAUUAGUACUGAUGAAAGGGCAGGUCCGUAUGGUAGGAGCACUUGUGGAAGGAGAUGCCUGGGCUCUGCUGGGCUGUCUGUGUUGGCUAACCACUGUAAAACCUCUGAAGUUUAUUCUGUCCACACAUGCUGCUGAGAAGAGAAGAGCAGUUCCUCUGGAGGCUUUAGCAUUCUGUAAGUAAAAUCGAUUUUUAGAUCAUGGGGCUGAGUUGAAAGCCAGUUGGGAUGGAUUUUGUUUAACUUCCCUAUUUAAAUAGCUCAUGUUGUUUGAAUACUUAUAUUUGCUUUUUGAUUAGCUCACCCAUGUUAGUGACUUGUAUGUCUGUAUCUUGUGUCUUUGGAAAAAAAUAAGCAGCUGUCAUGUAGGGCUACAAUAGGUAUUAACCAAUGUCUGACGUACAGAAAGUUAAUGUUACGGCCCCUUAACCCAAGCAGGGCAUGAAAACCUCAGCUCAUCAGGUGCCACUAGGACAUCAUCUUGCCAUUCUUGCCAGCUCUUCUCACUGUUGAUUUCUCCUGUGGUUGGUAUUUUUUGGGCUGUCAAGAGCGCUAGGAUCACAACUGUGCUGUUGUUAUCUUGCAAUAACCUCGCACACCGCUAUAAUAGCUAAGCUGUGAAGGGCAAGGUCACCUCUGAUGCUUGCAAAGCCAAUUAGGACUUACAGAGCACUAAACUCAGAUUUCUUCAAGCCAUUUAAUUUUAUUGAUCUGACACAUUUUUAUUUCCAGAUUACUCACUCUUGGGAACCAUCCAGGUUUCAUAGUGCGAAGGACUGUGUAAAAUGUAAUGAUUCAGCACUCCCAGUGUGGCCAACUGUGGAUUUUGUUAACCUUGCAAGCUACAUUUAAGACGCAAGGCAGGGCUUGAAGAGCACCAUCAUAUAUCUGAUGCUCUUCUGAAAGAGUUCUCCAAUUUGCAUUUCCUUCUUGUCGUCUUUAAAGUCAAAACACAUCCUUCACCUCUUUCUUGGUUAAAUCCUAGGAUUUUCCUGGAGGGGAGGUUCCCAGCACAUAAGAGAAUUCAGCAAUUCAGACAGUGCACGGAUUGAUACUUAACUAACUCUUCUUCCAAAAAUUACUGUACAGGUUGUUAAGUUUUUCCCUGUAGCUAAUGGGUCUCAGAUCAGAGAGGUGGCACUUCAGGGGAGAAGCUGGAGCUCACCCUCACCCACGGAAAGUGCAGCACAGCUGCAUGCUGUCGCUGUGUCCUUAACAGCCUUGUGAGUGCUGGCUCCAGGCACACACGGGCAUUUCCUGGAGAUUCCAGCAUGAGCAAAAGGACUUUGCUGGCAAUUUAAUGCCUUUUUGCACGGGAAAGAUACAUUCUUUUUGCUUCAGCUGAAUUGAGAGGCUUAAAAUCCCAAGAAAGGAAAUACAGUGCUUCUAGAUUAAUAGAGAGAGAUAUACUGUAAACACUUUAGUAUGUUGUGCAAUAAAAAGAGCCCUCAUGCCUUAUAAAUACAGGCACUUAGCUUAUCAUGUGCAUGUAGUCAGUUCUCCAGUAUCCACAGGCUGCUCGAAGGGCACACAGCUGAGCUGCUCUGAAGCCACUGAAGCUGCCUUUGUACGUGUUUCUCCUGCUUUGGGAGUUAUCUUGGACUGAGAACGACUCCGGGAAGAGCAAUCGUCAUUGCCCUGAGCCUGGGUGCAGGGCAGAGAAACCAUGCUGGCUGUGUGAGGAUCUGGCUUGUGUUUAAAACCGGUAGCAGCCAUUCUCGUUACUCUAGGUAACACGGAAAUCCCUCUUACGCUGCUGCUGACACACAGGAUGCCUGGACGUAGGGACCGGCAACAAAGGUAUGUGGCUGUAGAGUGAUGGUCGGAGCAUCUUUGUGUGAAGGAUCUGCAGAAUUAUCUGAAGAGCUGAGAGGGGUCUGUUAUCUGCAGAGUUAUUCUCCUAACUGAGCUAGCUGUGCCGUCGGGGUUUGCAGACUUUCCUUGCUCUGUAGCCAAGCAAUCCUAUAAUCCAGUGAAAUCUGGCUGAUGAAAAUCCAUGCUGUCACACUCCAUUAGAGGAUGGCCAGGGACAGGCACUAGACAGGACAAGCUAGACUGAUUGCAAAUGCCUCAUUUCUUUCAGAAAUCAGACUAGAAAUCUUCCCAGCACACUUAGGCUGGUUGCAAGCAGCUCUAAGUAUAUGUGAGAUGGGAAUGAUGGCCUGCAAAGUCAAACAAGAGCAGGAUGCUGAGAGCUGCUAAGAUGUAGAACCUUUCCUCAUCAGCAGCCCAGUUUGAAUUUUGUGGAUUUCCAUGGUUUUUCUUUUCAGUCUUUAGUCAUCACCUCUUCCUUUGAGGCUAUUAUGGCUGUGGCUGCCCGGCUCCUCUUCCCCUGCCCAUGUGAGUUCAUCCCAGGGACGCACCAAGCCCCGAGCUUGCGCAAACCCAACCGGGUGCUUGUGGGGCUGGUGGCAAUGGGCUGGCAGCCACCCUCUGCAGGACCGUCGGUUACCUCUCCUCUGAAAAAAAGUAUCACCACUACCUUGAAUUUGAUGUGAGAUACUGUAUUUCUAUCCAUCACAGGAAUUAGACGUUUAGUUGAAUGGCAAGUUGCGAAUUACCACGCUUUCCAAGUAUUUGUUCCCCUGGCCUUGACUACAAGCCAAGGAGGAACUGAUCCAAACAGAUUUCUCCCUUUGCUCACCUGAGGCUCCCAUUCCUCCUUCAAAAUGCUUUUUCAAAUUUCUUUUGAGGAACAAUACCUCCAAAUAAGGUAGUAGAGAAUAUAUAACGAAGUAUGAGAAGAUUUCUGUGGGAUCCAUCAUAUUGUCACGUUCCCAGUUCACCUCCUUGCCUCAGAUUCCCUUUGUUCCCCCUCCAUCCUCCCACCAGCCUCCCUGUUUGUUCUUUUUCUGUUUGACUGCCUACUUUCACAUUAAUUUUGGCUUUCCUUCAGUCUUGUAAUGCUGUAUCUAUUCCUUGAAUUUACUAUAGUUUGAUAUCGUGUUUCACGAGUCACUGCUGGGAACGGUAGAGUUUGAAGUAGAUAAAAAAACCCAACAAGCUGGUUCUUACAGAUCCAUAAAACUAAUUUGAAUUCAUGCUCUUUUUUCCCCCUUAUAAACCUUUGUGGAUUCUUUCCUCCACACACACAACCCAAAAGCUGAUGAAGUAAAUACAUGUAUGUAUUGCACGUGGUGAUGACUGUAUGCUGGGGAUGGAGGGCACCCACAAUUUCUUUCCUUUUCCAUCUGCAUGGGUGCUAAAUUAACACGCCACAGAAAGUCUGAAUCAUGUUUCCUUCCUAAGUUUUCUCUAAUCCUUUUUCCCCCUAGUUAAAUUAACUUUACAACCCACAGUGAGGAAAUUCAGUGGUAGCAAAUUGAGCAUGCAUCCCCAUUUACAUCUUUCCUAGCGAAAUGCUGCAUGGCAGCAACAGUGAAUCCCCAGCACUUCUCUGGCCAAAUAUUACUUUUCCCCACUUUUUCUUUGAUUAUUCUUUAUUGAACUUGUUUUCUCUAAUACAGCAGGAAGAAUGCUGAUGCUUAGAGGAAUUCGUACUCACCAAACAAGUAAGUUCUCCAUGCAACUUCACUUUGGUGUUUUAUCACCUUCAGAAAUUGUUCCUAAGCUUGUAUAUGCUGCUAAGAACAUUAGUCUUUAAAGAACUUUGUGCUAUGGUGGGGUAAGAUGAUUAAGUUGGCAAGGAUUUCUGUUGUGGUGUCAUCAUGAUUUUCAUUAGUACAGUGAAUUAUGACAGCUUGUUCUCUGCUCAAAUUGAUGUAAUUACUGCUCUGGAUCCCUGGCACAUUUCACUAGCACCUGACAUCUGGAAGAGAAAGGUGGGAGGCAAAGCAAGCUCUCAAAGUUGCUGUGUGAUGCACACUGACAGUCUCAUUUGUUCCAGCAGCUGCAGCGGCCAAGGGUAAUGGCCUUUGUUGGUCAGCAGAGCUAAUGCAAUUCUUGCAAAGAUAAAACAAAUAGCUCUUGUGAUUAGUGACGGAAAAUGCCAUCAAAUGAUGUGUUGUGCUGAAUAGGCAGUGACUGGAAUUGGCAGCACGUCCUUUACUUUAAAGUAACGUGUCAGAAGUGGGUGGGCGAGUUGGAGAAUUAUUUUAAAAAGAACAGAAAGCCUGCACCAAGUGUACACCAAGCUCAAGGCCCGUAUCGGAACAGAAAUAAUUGUUCCAGUUUGUUAAAUGGAAGAUAGUUCUACCAACAGAACUAUAAAGGGAUUAAUUUCUAGCUCGUCUACCGAAGGAUAAACUCUAGCCCUUGCGUGAUGGUGAUCCUUGGCGGGCUGGUACUGCACAGGUGCCAUUGCUUCUGCAGGAGCUGUGCGGACACGGAGCCUAAAGUGCAGCAUGCCCCUGUGUGGUGCCCCGCGGCAAAGAGGGAGACAGAUGUACCUGCUCUCCUCUGGUAUGGGUACAGAGCAGCUGGGUGCUGCGACCUGAACAGGAACAGCCACCACUUCAUCCUUGUUCUCCCUUUAGGGGAGGCCAGUGAUGCUGCCAGAUCAGUUUUCACACCGUAGCUGCCUGCAGGAGCCCCUCAGCGUGGGAUAGCAGCAAGGGUUGCCCAGCGAGGCUAGGGACACCCACAGUGGCUUGGUCACAAUCCUUCCCGUGACCCUCAACAGCCUGCAGUUCACCAGUGUGCAUCCAGCACUGCUGAUAAAAAGCGAUGCUGUCAGCUCGCCUUGCUUUGUACCUGGCAUUUAACAGCGGUAGCAAAGGGAGCCACCAAGAACAAGGCAAGUUCACAGGGGAAGUGAAUUUUCUUUGCAUUACAACAGAAGCUCCUUUUUUGCAGCAUUAAGCUUCUCACCAGCAGCUCAAAAUGCAGCCCGUUGGCAAUGUGGUUUUCUUAUGCAGACAUAUAUAUUCCAGCACUCAUUGCUGGUGAUGAAUCUUUUCACGGUGAUCUUGUUCCCUGCGGAGUCAGCAAAGCCUCACACGCUGCCAGUGCUGUGAGUGUCCGACAGGAAAAUCUGAUCUGCACUUCCACCGUUAAGCUUCUAUUUCCAGCCCUGAAAAUUAUGCUGGGUGACGUUCAGCAGCCAGGCUCUGUAAAACAGUGUAGACAAGAUUGUCAGACGGCUGCCUUGGCAGAAAAAUCUGCUCUGGCACUGAGGAAACCACUAUACAGGUAAAACAGAGCCCUGACCCAGCCAGGGACACGUGUGAGUGUGAAGCACCGGCGCUGCUGCUGCAAGACCUGAGGAGCCCUGGGUGUGCCAUACAUGGGCCACCACUGCCCAGGGACUUGGCCAGCACCGUGCAUCUCCAAGCAAAGCCAAAGCAACAUUUGUGCACGAGCUGCACCUGUAUGAAGCAGAUUCCCAAAAUCCCUGGUGGUGUGGGUCCCCUCACAGAAGUUGUCCCAAGCUGCUGGUAGCAGCCAUGCCUGUGGCAGGCUGUGGUGGGGGCACUGGGGGGGGGGGGGGGGGAGGGGGGGGCUGACAAAGGUCUUGGCAGUGCAUCCAACUCUUAGCAAAAUUUAGGUGCUCUUAACAAAAACCACACACAACUUUCACAGCUCUACACGCAACUUCCCUCACAACAGAGUGAGGUCUUGUGGCUGUCAUUAUCAAAGAUAUUUUCUGUACAGCUAUGUAUUAAACUUUUAAGAAAAUAACCAAACCCCAUUAAUCACUAGCAUUACUUACUACUGUGCCAGCCAAGGAUUACUUCAAUACUUAUUUUAAUGGAUUGCUCAGCUAGGAAUGAUUUUAAGGUUAAAGGUCUUGGAAGACUCUUUUUAUAAGCUUUCUGAAAUCUAGUCCAUCUCUAAUUUCCAUAUGUCUCACACAGCACUAGGCUAAUGUAAUGCAUCACCACAUAAAUCCCUCUCUGAUAAAAUUAUCCUGGGUAUUACAAAAAUUCAAAGCAUUAUUCUUAACUACGUGUGUCUUUUUCAGAUGUCUCACAAGUUGAGACAUAAGCCUGGUGUGUUGGAGACUUUUUUUUCCUUAAUGAUAGCUGGAAUAGGAAGUUUAAGAUGAUACCUGGUAGCUUAGAUCGUCCAUGUCAGCACAUCACAGACAGAACUGGCUUUUUAAAAAACAGCUCUUAAUAGAAAAGAGCUAACUUCCAUUCUUGUGUUCUCAGACUCAAAUUUUGGCCCCACUUCCAGUGUUUUUUAUCCCACGACCCAAGCUGCUUCCUCUAACAUCAUGUAAAACACUGAUGUGACUCCUUUGCUCUUUCAUCAUAGAUUUCCCUAAACAAUUUCAGUAUAUUCUCUGCUACCCAUGAUGUACAACCAGCAGUCUAAGCAGCAAGAGCACUCUGCUUCUGAUAGCUGCCUGGUUGACUGUCCAGUCAUGAUCUCCUGCAGAGGAGACAGGGAAUGCUGUUAUCCAAUUAAUUCUGGUGUGCAUGACUCUACACUCAGCUAGGACCAGACAGCUUUUUGCCUUCUCUAUCCCUUGAGUCAUUAAGAAAUUUCCUAGAAAUGGUGUGAGAAGGGCAACAUAAGAAGCCAGGCCAGGUCUACCAUGGUAUAUAUUACAGGGAAAAUUCAUGUCUGGAUACAGAAUCUAGAAGGCGGCAAAAAUUUGAUUUUUCCAAGAAACGUAAGGAAAGCUUGAAAAUACAAGCCUGUUAACACCUCACAAAGUCAAUGCAGCACCUGGAAGGCUAUAGAAGAGGAGACAAACUGGAAAGGAAGCCUUUUUUCUACAUUGGCAAAAAAACACGGUAAGGGAAAAGUCUCAUAUGUGAAGUCAUACGCAAUGGCUGUAGCAAGGAAAUCAUUAUAUCAAAGCCAGCAGACUUUGUACAUAAAAGAUAUGAAGAAAAAACCAAGAAAAAACACACAGCACGUGAAGUGAGCAAUGAUUCAGACAAGGAGACUGUGCCAGUAUCUAACACUACCCCAGCAAACCAGCAGAACAGUGUACCUUAAGCUAUCUUCAGAUGCAAGAACCAGCCCCACGCAGCCCCCAGGAGCCAGCUCGCUCAGAAGCAGCCAGGGAGGUUACCUGCAGGAGCCUGAGUAACUUACCUGGGAGUUAGUAAGUUCCAUGUAAGCUGUGUCGCAUCUGUUCUAUGCCAAAGCCGGUUGUAAAGCAAAGCUGAGCCAGCAGUUCAGAAUUGAAGGUGGCUGAAGAAAGCAAAGGCAAACUUAAGUUUACAGAGAGACCAAGGGCCUCAGAAACCAUUUUAAAAAGAUUUGUUGUUUUAACUUAACCUAAUAAAACUGUCGCCCUGAAGUCCUUGAAUACCACCACCGGCAUAGCUGCACUGCGCAUGAAAGGAAUACAAAGUUCACCUUUGGCUGGGUAAGUAUCACCUAUUCAAGGCUGUUCAGUGCUUCUGGGUGCCAAGUUUUCUUUUUCAAGUGUAUCUGAAAUUAUGAGAUGCCCAGACAGCCAGGCUCUUGCCCUUACCAGCAGUGAAGGUGGUUACUCUCUGAACACAAGUUUUGUAUUGGCUUGCAAUGAGGAGGACUCUCCUCACAGGGUUAUUUAAUGCAAAUCCCAUGACAAUUCUUAAAACUGCAAGCUGCCAGCCAGGUUUCCCAAGCCAAUAUGUUUCCAAUAAGAAGUGCUUGUUUUAUUUACAGGUUACCAUUAAAGAGUACAUUUGCACCACAUUAUUAAACCGAUAUUACUGAGAAUGAUGUGGCCAGAAUAGCUAUUCAUGCCUCAUGGCCAUCAAUGAUUUAUGCUGAGCCCACUGCCAUCCUUCCCCCUCAUCUGUGCUGACAUUCCUUCGUGAAUAUUUAAGGUAAUGUCUGCUCUCAUCUCUCGUUCAGAAUCAAACACAAGCACACUACAGCACACGAUGGGUAUUUGCAAUUCAACACAGAGCGCGCUGACACGUGAUGAAUGCUGGCAAUGACCGGGUACAGCACCGCUUUAGUUGUAAAGGGGCAAUACUUGCGAGGCUGCUUUGGGGUGCAGACUGUAUAACUCUCACCAAUAAGCCUUUGAAACUUUGCCUGGGAAGUGAAUGCAGAUUAUUGGAGCUCUUCCUUAUUCAAGUACAGGAACGUUUGAUGGGGCAGGAGUUGAGUGGCGGUGGUGCCAUCAAAUGUGAAGGGCACCUGGCUGGCUCAGCCCAUGGGGGGAGAUUCACCAUCCCAGGGCAUGAGCACGUGCCCUGCCUCAGCCCUGGGGGCUUCCCCAGGAGGGCAGCUCUGCUGCUGGCGUGCCAGCACAGCUAACCGUGCGAGCCAGCAGUGACAGCAGAGCUCAUUCCUCCACGAGCGCGCUGACCUUGCGUGACAGAGUUGGUAGUGAAAGACAUUUCAAACCACUCCUGAAUGGGAACACCAGGUUAUUUGUUUGUUUAGUGAAGCGACACCUCGCUGCCUGCAGGGCCAUGUAUGCCACUGUUAAACCUUCUCAACCAAUAUAUACAUAAAGCAAAUUCUGCACAGCUGUGGUUGUGUGUUCUUCUUAUUGUGAUCCCUUGGACAUAUUCCUGGCCUACAAUUGGGCUGUCAAAAAUACAGUAAUCUGUCCCCAGUGCCUGCAGCAUUUGUGCUGCGGAGCUACUGGGAGAUGCACAUGAUGCAGGAGGGGCAGGAGCACCAGGGUUAUUAAUAGCACCUGCCUCUGCAGCUUUUUAGCAGAGCACCACCCAUGCAAAAACAAUCUCCAUCUUGCCUCCGCACACCCUGAGUGUGGCAUUGGAAAUAAUUCAGCUUGCAAAAGAAGGACAGGCUUGAGGCAGUGAGGCUGUCACACAGGACACUGUCCUGCCACAUGCCCCCUCCCUCCACCUGCUCUACCUGAAUCCUCCCAUGGGACUGCGAGGUCCCCUGGGCUGAGCCGUGGCUCUGCUCCCUCCUUGACCAUGGGGACUCUGCCAGAGCUGAGUGGGAACAGGAUUGCCCGGGGUGUUGCUAAGAGCAGCAAGAAGGAUGCCGGAUGCCCUCCAACUCCCCUCUGCACCUCGCAUCCACUUGGUCCUCCAGCAUCACCUUGGCACUGGCCUGAGUUUACAGCUCACCUUCACCAGGAUGCAUGCCAGCGAAACAGAGCAGGUUCUACCAGCUUUCCAAAGUCCUUCCAGUUUUAGGCACUCCAGAGACAUCACAACAUUUAAGCAAAAUACCGUAAGCAUGAGUCUCCUCCCACCUGUGUUUUCUUACUAUACCUCAAAGUCAGGUGGGAGCCAUGCUCCUUCUGCCUGGCUUGCUUUUCACUCUCUGCAAGUGGAAACUGGGGUGUCACAGGGCCAUUUGUGACUGAGGGAACUGCCUCUCUCCAUCUCCUCAUGCUUCCUCGGUUCAAUUGUUGCAAUCAUUCUUGCUUGGAGAGUGUUCCUUGCAUUUGAAAAUCUCUCCCUGCUUAGAAUCCCCUGGAAACACCACUGCAAGUAGCUUUGCCUGUUACACAAAUUACACAGCCUGCUGGAAGAUUUAGAGAGUUUUCAAUACCUCUGGCAGUGCCAGGGCAACACCACCACAGCAGCCUCAGCUGCAGGCAAAGUCACCCGGCCACUGCCCUUGGGCCAGGCUGGGAUGCAGCCAGGACCCCUGCAGGUGACUGCCACACCGAGAAUGGGGACAUCCUUGUGUGCCACUUGGGUUACCACAGGCUCCAGCUGUAACAUCACUGUUGAUUCAGAACAUCUUCUAAAUAAAAUCCUGUGUAUUGUUCACAAUUUA